GCGCAGCAGGCGCGAAAACUCCGCAAUGCGCGAAAGCGUGACGGGGGAACCCCAAGUGCCGUUGGUCUUCUGAUCGACGGCUUUUGUGGAGUCUAGGAAGCUCCACGAAUAAGGGCUGGGUAAGUCGGGUGCCAGCCGCCGCGGUAAUACCCGCAGCCCAAGUGGUGGUCGCGAUUAUUGGGCCUAAAGCGCUCGUAGCCGGACUAGCAAGUCCCUUGUGAAAUCGGGCGGCCUAACCGUUCGGCUUGCAAGGGAUACUGCUGGCCUUGAGGCCGGAAGACGCCGAGGGUACUCUGGGGGUAGCGGUGAAAUGCUGUAAUCCUCGGGGGACCACCAGUGGCGAAGGCGGGUAGCCAGAACGCGCUCGACGGUGAGGGGCGAAAGCUGGGGGAGUGAACCGGAUUAGAUACCCGGGUAGUCC
rnacentral:rRNA from 1 species